UCUUCCCUCUUUCUUCGUGCCUAAUACAUGCAAGUCGAGCGAACAGACGAGGAGCUUGCUCCUCUGACGUUAGCGGCGGACGGGUGAGUAACACGUGGAUAACCUACCUAUAAGACUGGGAUAACUUCGGGAAACCGGAGCUAAUACCGGAUAAUAUAUUGAACCGCAUGGUUCAAUAGUGAAAGACGGUUUUGCUGUCACUUAUAGAUGGAUCCACGCCGCAUUAGCUAGUUGGUAAGGUAACGGCUUACCAAGGCAACGAUGCGUAGCCGACCUGAGAGGGUGAUCGGCCACACUGGAACUGAGACACGGUCCAGACUCCUACGGGAGGCAGCAGUAGGGAAUCUUCCGCAAUGGGCGAAAGCCUGACGGAGCAACGCCGCGUGAGUGAUGAAGGUCUUCGGAUCGUAAAACUCUGUUAUUAGGGAAGAACAAAUGUGUAAGUAACUAUGCACGUCUUGACGGUACCUAAUCAGAAAGCCACGGCUAACUACGUG
rnacentral:rRNA from 1 species